rnacentral:rRNA from 1 species
CCUACGGGUGGCAGCAGUGAGGAAUAUUGGUCAAUGGACGAGAGUCUGAACCAGCCAAGUAGCGUGAAGGAUGACUGCCCUAUGGGUUGUAAACUUCUUUUAUUUGGGAAUAAAAUGUUCCACGUGUGGGAUUUUGUAUGUACCAUAUGAAUAAGGAUCGGCUAACUCCGUGCCAGCAGCCGCGGUAAUACGGAGGAUCCGAGCGUUAUCCGGAUUUAUUGGGUUUAAAGGGAGCGUAGGUGGAUUGUUAAGUCAGUUGUGAAAGUUUGCGGCUCAACCGUAAAAUUGCAGUUGAAACUGGCAGUCUUGAGUACAGUAGAGAUGGGCGGAAUUCGUGGUGUAGCGGUGAAAUGCUUAGAUAUCACGAAGAACUCCGAUUGCGAAGGCAGUUCACUGGACUGCAACUGACACUGAGGCUCGAAAGUGUGGGUAUCAAACAGGAUUAGAUACCCCUGUAGUC